rnacentral:lncRNA from 10 species
CAAAAGACCCACCAGUUUAUCACAGUGAACAUCUGAGAAAAAUUCCCUCUUGCUUCCAGCAAAGACAGAGACAGUGCUCUGCAGGGAGUCUACCACUGUGAUGGUUAAUACUGAGUGUCAACUUGAUUGGAUUGAAGGAUGCAAAGUAUUGUUCCUGGGUGUGUCUGUGAGGGUGUUGCCAAAGGAGAUUAACAUUUGAGUCAGUGGGCUGGGAAAGGUAGACCCAGCCGUAAUCUAGGUGGGCACCAUCUAAUCAGCUGCCAGCACAGCUAGAAGAUAAAGUAGGCAGAAAAACAUGAAAACAUUAGACUGGCCUAGCCUCUGAGCCUACAUCUUUCUCCCAUGCUGGAUGCUCCCUGCCCUUGAACAUCAGACUCCAAGUUUUUCAGUUUUGGGACUGGGACUCACUAUCCUUGCUCCUCAGCUUGCAGACAGCCUAUUGUGGGACCUUAUGAUCAUGUGAGUUAAUACUUAAUACAUAAAUAUAUAUAUAUACACACACACAUAUACACACACACACACACAUAUAUAUAUACACACACACACACAUAUAUAUAUAUAUCUGUCCCUCUAGAGAACCCUGACUAAUACAACUACUAAUAAAAAUUGGGGCAAAAGACAUUGAUUGGGUAUUGUAAGUAGGUUAUGCUCACAGUAGCAAUAUCUCUUAAGACUUUUUAAAAGACUUCCUAAUAAAAGAGAUUUAAAAUACAGCAAAUAACAAGUUUGUGCAUUUUCAAUUUCAUUAUCAGCACCACCUUCAUUAUCCAAAGUUAUUACUAAAGCUUAUGACACAUACAGCAUGAGCAGCAGACAGAAAAUUUUGAAGUCAGUGCCUCUGUGGUUCACAGGUGCAGAGGCAGACAUCACAGCUGUCAAGCAGUUAUUUACAAGAGAGACACUUCUCCAGUAGUAAUUGACAACCUUCUUUAAGGGAAAAGAGGCUGCAAAACUGUGGAAUAUUAGAACAUGAAGCCAAAGAGGAAAACUGACUUGCCUAAGGCCACUCAACAAAUUAUUCAGCCAGAAUGGGAACUCAUACUUGACUUCAACUUCUUAUUCCUCGUGUUCUUACUCCUACAAGUUUUCCACUACUCAGGGGCUCUUUAGGGUAAAUUAACCAUGAAAACACACACAUGCACACACACAUACAAACUAAAUUCCAUUCAUAUUAAGAUAUGCUUCCUUUUUUCUCUCCCCUAUCCAUGGUAGUAAUAACAAGAAGUAAAAGCUUUUUCAUUAUAAAGUAAACUUCCAUUUUUCUUUCUUGAUACGUUUUCAGGUUUUCCUCUAAAAGUAAUUAAAAGUACUACUCAAGUUGUUCCUAGUUGUCUAGAAUGGCUUAUGCUGCCAUUAGCUUCUACAGCUCUGUCAUUAGAGAAAUGGACUGUACUUCUUCUUCACCUUUCACAUGCGGCCAAAAUUGGGUUACUUUAAAAGGCCAGAUGUCAAAAGCAGAUAAAUCCUUUGUACUGUAAUGAGCAUAAUGAUGAAUAAUGGCACUUAUGUUCAAUAAACGAUGCCCUGCCCAUAAACAGCCUUUCCUCUCAGAUAUUCUAUUUAAUUCAAUGAUAUAUUCCAGGUAAUUUGUGGAACUGAAUGAGAAAUUACCUUAAACAAGAAGACUUUGGAAUUUACUAAAAUAUACUUGUUGAAAAUAAUUAAUGGAAGCAGAGUUUGCAUUAGUAAAAUUAUGGCAUUAAAAUCCG